rnacentral:lncRNA from 1 species
UCCUGCUUUUCUCUUGACCCUGUUCCUUACCUGCUAUGGUCUUUCUGCAGUGGCACAUGGACUACUUUUCAGUGUUAACAUCUCCCUAACAUUACCUGCCAGUCAUCCCUCAGGGAGGGGUAGGGCCUCAGGAGCUCCUCAUGAUGCAUAAUGAAAUGUUGAUGGGCCCCAUGUCACACAGAUCUUGAACAGUGUGCUCCUGAGCUCAGAGCCCAUGUCAUGUUCAGACGUCUCUUACUGCAUAGCUCCAUCCACUCGUUCUCACCUAGUUUCAGCUCUUUUGCAGUUCUUUCUGAGCCUCAAAGGGAAAAAAGCAUAUUUAUCAUUUGAGGUUUAAUCACAUCAAUGCAUGUAGUACAGCUUGUUCAUUUUCACUGAUGUAACAGGUUUUUAAAAAAAAUAUUUUCAAGUACAAACAUUCAAACAGUCUCUCUUUUUUUAUUUCUCUGCGUCUCUCUGCCUCUCUGUCUGUCUCUCUCUCUGACUUUCUCCUCACCUCUCACACAAAUACCACACAAAUACAUACAUACUUUUGUUAAUAAUAGUGCCGUGGACACACUCUGUCAUAAGAAAUGAGUGUUCAGAUUUCUUAUUUUUUUCAAGCUAGUAUACUCUAUUUCCAAGUAUAUUACUAUAUAUAAUCUUUGUCCAUAUUCUUAUAUCUGAGCAAAUAAGAUACCAGUUGUAUUACAGUAAUUAUUUGCAUUUUCUUAUUAAUAAUAUUUGUGAUAAUUUUUGUAUCCAUUGCCUGACUGUUAAUGUAAAUGCUUGCUUGAUAUUUGCUUGUUUGUCUUGGGGAUUCCGUGCCUAUUGUAUUAUGUGUAAGAUACUCCUCCUCUAUGAAUUCCAGAGCUCUAGAUACAAAAUGUUUGUUUCUUCUUGUUGUUGUUGGUGGUGGUGGUGUUGUUGUCAAAUACUUUCACUGGCUUCUGAGUUUGUCUUUUCACUCUCCUUUGUGAUACUGGGUAAGUAGAAAGUAUAUUUUAAAUGUUACUUUUUUUUCAGGAAUUUUUACAAAAUACAAUUUUUAUGUAAGUAAUUUCCCAUUAUGAAAUCUUAAGUUAUUUAAGGUAUUAUAAAUGCCAUUGUUUCCUUCAAUAUUAUUUUGUCGUGGUAUGCUUACGGACUUCGGACUCUGUCUGCCUCACCUGAAAAUUUAUUUACAACAGCAGUGAAAUGUACUGAACAUCAAUUGUUUCUCCACAAAUGUGAAAGCUGGCUUUGUCCUGAGCCAGGACUUCUGCUGUGGAUGGAUCAAUUCCCCACUCUUCCCUAGCUUUUGGUGGUCAAUAAGACAGCAAUGUGAUUUGAGCUUGGAACUAAUGUCUAACUAUGCAAUGGAACUUGGCUAACCCUUCUUUCCUUGGUUUAUUUUAGCAUCCUGUGGUUUUGCUUCCUUACACAUAAAGUGGAUUUAAUUUUAUCUCAGAAAGAAUGGGUGUCUGCAUGAUUUUCAGUAUGCUGGCCUAAGGCAUAGCCUAUCUAUGUACUUAGUUCAUUUUUAAUUACCUUUAAUAGUGUUUCAUUUAUUUAUAUCUAUACAUCUUAGGCUUAUAUAUCAUAUUUUAUUGCUUUAAAACUGAUAUGUAUUUUAAAUGAUUAACUCAAUUAUUACAAAUGCCUAUUUUAUUAUACAGCCAGUUAUCCAAAUUCUGUAUUAUUAACCUGAUCAUAAAACCCUGGUUGAAAACCUUACUAAAUGAAAUUCCUUGACGAGUAUGUGGCCUACCAAAGUGAGGCUAUGCUGCCCUUACAUAUACAGUUUGACAAUAUUUGAACCUCCUUCAGGAAAACACAAGGAGCUCAGAUAACUUUCAUCAUAAUGUCUGUUACAGAUUAUAUUGUUGAUGUUUUUUAAGCUUAUUCCUAAUUUUAUAUACUUAAUGUUUUAUGAUUUUCUUUUUCCCAGUCAACCAUGUUUUCCCUUUCUCCUUCUUCUUGAUAUAGGCUUACUUAGAAACCUUUUGUGUUGCACUUUUCAUCUUAAGAAUUAUUUUUGUCUGUCUUUUAAUAGUAAGUUUUUCCCUUAGGCAUCAUGGAAAACAGAUUCUCUGGCUAUCUACCUAGUGCUAUUAACAUCUCUGUCAUCACACACAUUAAUCAAAUGAUGUUUCUGGGUAUUUCCUUUAUUUCAUGUCUGUUUACUGAUAUAAUUAUGUGUAAUAGGUAUACAUAUACAUGCACACAUGGUAUUAUAUUUAAUAAGUAUGCAUAUAUAUUGACUGAAUUUCUUAUCCACAGUACAUCAAAUAACUUUAAAGUGUUUGUUUUCAUGCUUCUGAAAUCAUUAUGUGCAGCUGAAAACAGUCUUAACCUUAUCAAUACCUAAAUUUCCAUUUUGUUCACACACACAUGCAUGCAUAAAUACAUGCACACACAUGCACAUGAACAGAAGCACACGCACUCUUACACAUUCACACAGACAGACAGGCACAGACACACACACACUCCAAGGAUAUAGUGAGCUUGAAGUUAUAGAGCUAGCUUACAGUGCUUAUACUGUUUCUUGGGGAAUACAGCCAGUAUAUAAUCCUUGCAUAGAAACUAGUUGUUAUGUGAAAAAAACACAUUGAAAGGUUUAGAAACAAUACAUUUUAGUAUUUAGUACUUUAGUAUUAAAAUGUAAGAUC